rnacentral:rRNA from 1 species
CCUACGGGGGGCUGCAGUGGGGAAUUUUGGACAAUGGGCGCAAGCCUGAUCCAGCCAUGCCGCGUGCAGGAUGAAGGCCCUCGGGUUGUAAACUGCUUUUGUACGGAACGAAAAGCCUCUCUCGAAUAAGAGGGGUGAUGACGGUACCGUAAGAAUAAGCACCGGCUAACUACGUGCCAGCAGCCGCGGUAAUACGUAGGGUGCGAGCGUUAAUCGGAAUUACUGGGCGUAAAGCUUGCGCAGGCGGUCUGAAAUCCCCGGGCUCAACCUGGGAACGGCCAUUGUGACUGCAAGGCUGGAGUACGGCAGAGGGGGGUGGAAUUCCGCGUGUAGCAGUGAAAUGCGUAGAUAUGCGGAGGAACACCGAUGGCGAAGGCAGCCCCCUGGGCCUGUACUGACGCUCAUGCACGAAAGCGUGGGGAGCAAACAGGAUUAGAUACCCCAGUAGUC